rnacentral:rRNA from 1 species
GACGAACGCNGGCGGCGUGCUUAACACAUGCAAGUCGGACGAAGAGCGAUGGAAGCUUGCUUCUAUCAAUCUUAGUGGCGAACGGGUGAGUAACGCGUAAUCAACCUGCCCUUCAGAGGGGGACAACAGUUGGAAACGACUGCUAAUACCGCAUACGAUCUAACCUCGGCAUCGAGGAUAGAUGAAAGGUGGCCUCUACAUGUAAGCUAUCACUGAAGGAGGGGAUUGCGUCUGAUUAGCUAGUUGGAGGGGUAACGGCCCACCAAGGCGAUGAUCAGUAGCCGGUCUGAGAGGAUGAACGGCCACAUUGGGACUGAGACACGGCCCAGACUCCUACGGGAGGCAGCAGUGGGGAAUCUUCCGCAAUGGACGAAAGUCUGACGGAGCAACGCCGCGUGAGUGAUGACGGCCUUCGGGUUGUAAAGCUCUGUUAAUCGGGACGAAAGNCCUUCUUGCGAAUAGUAGAAGGAUGACGNAC